AAAAUGAUAAAAAGAAGCAUUUUUAUUUGAAGUAUGAUUCAUACUACUCUUCCAGCGAUUGCAAAUACAAUAGAAGUAUUUCAUUACAUUUCAAUACCAAAAUUAUAAAUCAAAUAGCUAUUUGGAGCCAUAAGUAUUUACCAUAUAUAAUCAAUUUUUCAGUCACAAGUGCUGGUAGACAUCAAUGUUAACAUUUUUAUUCUCUUCCUUUUAAAAAUGGCUACAUGAUGAAUAUAGUUAUCACAAAGAGAUUAAGGGAUUGAAAACCUUUGAAUUGUUACUAAAUCCUGAAUCCUGUUCUGAACUUGAAUUUGCUUUUAUGGAAAUUUAAAGCACUAGCAGUUUGAGCCCAGUCUCCUUUUUAUAUAAAUGCCAUUUAUUUCUUGAAACUUGCUUUUAAUAAUUGCCUAAGUCAUUUAAAUGCAAGCCGACUUCUUAGCAGGUGCUGAAACUGUGUACCAGGACUGAGGGUAAAAUUAAAUGACUCAUUUCCAUUAUGAUCAAAGCUGAAAACCUUUUCUUGUUAUUAUGUUGUGAAUUCCACCAAAUAACUACAUAGUCAUUUAUUGAAUUUUUCUUCUUUCAGACAUUCACAUUCCAAGCUAUUGUAUAGUAAGUGAACUGGUAACUUUUUUCAAUAUACUUCAAAAUUUUACUGUAAAAUGCCCUGCAGCGAAGACAAUACUAGCUAUUACCUAGCAGUGGGGUGAGCUAGUUUACCCUUUCUAGAGUUUGACAUUUAAACAAAGUCCAGAAACAUAAAUUAAGAACAUCUUAAAUGAUACUAUAGAUUAAUAUUCAGCAAAGAACACAUUUGCCAUUAACUAAUUUUGUAAAAAAGUCUGCUUGCAAGAAAAAAAUUAACCAUCUUUCCUAAACAAGUGUCAAAGGUCAAGAACAAAAUAUCUGUAAUAAACUCUAAGAAUUCUGGUAAUUGUUUGCAAAAAUAUCUACGAAAGAUUGAUGUGACUAUAUGAUAGUGGUUUGUUAAAGUGAAUUUUCUAAUCUCCUUUAAAAUCUUUCUCAAGAUCAGCCUGGUUUUAGAUGAAGAAGUAUUUUAAGUUAUCAAAAACCAGUAAAAACAUAUUCUUCAUAUGCUUGGCAAAUUGCAUU
rnacentral:lncRNA from 1 species